GACGAACGCUGGCGGCGUGCUUAACACAUGCAAGUCGAACGGAAAGGCCCUGCUUUUGUGGGGUGCUCGAGUGGCGAACGGGUGAGUAACACGUGAGUAACCUGCCCUUGACUUUGGGUUAACUUCAGGAAACUGGGGCUAAUACCGGAUAGGAGCUCCUGCUGCAUGGUGGGGGUUGGAAAGUUUCGGCGGUUGGGGAUGGACUCGCGGCUUAUCAGCUUGUUGGUGGGGUAGUGGCUUACCAAGGCUUUGACGGGUAGCCGGCCUGAGAGGGUGACCGGCCACAUUGGGACUGAGAGACGGCCCAGACUCCUACGGGAGGCAGCAGUGGGGAAUAUUGCACAAUGGGCGGAAGCCUGAUGCAGCAACGCCGCGUGCGGGAUGACGGCCUUCGGGUUGUAAACCGCUUUCGCCUGUGACGAAGCGUGAGUGACGGUAAUGGGUAAAGAAGCACCGGCUAACUACGUG
rnacentral:rRNA from 1 species